CUGGGAUCUGGGGGAGCCACCCCUGGGGGCAAGUGUCUGCCCUGGUGCUGUACCUGCCUUGUUUUCACAGCGGUGACCCGAAGAGACAGCCUGAGGUCCGUCCUCACUCACUGUGUUUGAGGAACUGAGGGCCAGCUGGCAGUGGGAUGAGGCUGGCCCCCUCCUCCGCUUUACUUCCUGGAGGCCUUCCGUAGAGCUGUG
rnacentral:lncRNA from 1 species